rnacentral:rRNA from 1 species
GACGAACGCUGGCGGCGUGCUUAACACAUGCAAGUCGAACGGAAAGGCCCGGCUCUUGCGGGGUGCUCGUUUGGCGAGCGGGGGAGUAACACGUGAGUAACCUGUCCCUGACUGUGGGAUAUCUUUAGGAAACUGGGGCUAAUACAGGAUAGGAGCUCCUGCUGCACGGUGGUGGUUGGAAAGUUUCGGCGGUUGGGGAUGGACUCGCGGGUUAUCAGCUUGUUAGUCGGGUAGUGGCAUACCAAGGCUUUGACGGGUAGCCGGCCUGAGAGGGUGACCAGCCACAUUGGGACUGAGAGACGGCCCAGUCUGGAACGGGAGGCAGCAGUCGGGAAUAUUACACAGUAGGGGGAAGCGAGAUAUAGAAACGCCGGGUGCGGGAUGACGGGCUUCGGGUUGUAAACCGCUGUGUCCGGUGCUAUAGAGUGAGUGACGGUAAUGAGUAAAAAAGCACCGGCUAACUACGUG